rnacentral:rRNA from 1 species
UAGGGAAUCUUGGACAAUGGGCGAAAGCCUGAUGGAGCGACGCCGCGUGAGGGAUGAAGGCCUUAGGGUUGUAAACCUCUAAAAGAGGGACGAUAAUGACGGUACCUCUUGAAUAGCACCGGCUAACUCCGUGCCAGCAGCCGCGGUAAUACGGAGGGUGCAAGCGUUAUCCGGAAUCACUGGGCGUAAAGGGCGCGUAGGCGGUCUGUUAAGUCCGAUGUUAAAUCCCGGGGCUCAACCCCGGAUAAGCGUUGGAUACUGGCAGGCUAGACGGUUGGAGAGGCGAGUGGAAUUACCAGUGUAGCGGUGGAAUGCGUAGAUACUGGUAGGAACACCCAUUGCGAAGGCAGCUCGCUGGACAACACGUGACGCUGAGGCGCGAAAGUGUGGGGAGCAAACC